rnacentral:rRNA from 1 species
AGGCCUAACACAUGCAAGUCGAACGGUAACAGGAAGCAGCUUGCUGCUUCGCUGACGAGUGGCGGACGGGUGAGUAAUGUCUGGGAAACUGCCUGAUGGAGGGGGAUAACUACUGGAAACGGUAGCUAAUACCGCAUAACGUCGCAAGACCAAAGAGGGGGACCUUCGGGCCUCUUGCCAUCGGAUGUGCCCAGAUGGGAUUAGCUAGUAGGUGGGGUAACGGCUCACCUAGGCGACGAUCCCUAGCUGGUCUGAGAGGAUGACCAGCCACACUGGAACUGAGACACGGUCCAGACUCCUACGGGAGGCAGCAGUGGGGAAUAUUGCACAAUGGGCGCAAGCCUGAUGCAGCCAUGCCGCGUGUAUGAAGAGGGCCUUCGGGUUGUAAAGUACUUUCAGCGGGGAGGAAGGCGACAGGGUUAAUAACCCUGUCGAUUGACGUUACCCGCAGAAGAAGCACCGGCUAACUCCGUGCCAGCAGCCGCGGUAAUACGGAGGGUGCAAGCGUUAAUCGGAAUUACUGGGCGUAAAGCGCACGCAGGCGGUCUGUCAAGUCGGAUGUGAAAUCCCCGGGCUCAACCUGGGAACUGCAUUCGAAACUGGCAGGCUAGAGUCUUGUAGAGGGGGGUAGAAUUCCAGGUGUAGCGGUGAAAUGCGUAGAGAUCUGGAGGAAUACCGGUGGCGAAGGCGGCCCCCUGGACAAAGACUGACGCUCAGGUGCGAAAGCGUGGGGAGCAAACAGGAUUA